AGAGAGAGAGGGGCCAGAGAGAGAGAGAGAGGAGACAGAGAGAGGGAGAGAGGGGCCAGGGAGGAGACAGAGAGAGGGGCCAGAGAGAGGGAGAGAGGAGACAGAGAGAGAGGCCAGAGAGAGGGAGAGAGGGGCCAGGGAGGAGACAGAGAGAGGGGCCAGAGAGAGGGAGAGAGGAGACAGAGAGAGAGAGGCCAGAGAGAGGGAGAGAGGGGCCAGGGAGGAGACAGAGAGAGAGGGGCCAGAGAAAGAGAGAGAGGGGGCAGAGAGAGAGAAGGGCCAGAGAGAGGGGAGAGGGGCCAGAGUUAGAGAGAGAAGGGCCAGAGAGAGGGAGAGAGGAGACAGAGAGAGGGAGAGAGGGGCCAGGGAGGAGACAGAGAGAGGGGCCAGAGAGGAGACAGAGAGAGAGGGGCCAGGGAGGAGACAGAGAGAGAGGGGCCAGAGAGAGAGAGAGAGGAGACAGAGAGAGGGAGAGAGGGGCCAGGGAGGAGACAGAGAGAGGGGCCAGAGAGAGGGAGAGAGGAGACAGAGAGAGAGGCCAGAGAGAGGGAGAGAGGGGCCAGGGAGGAGACAGAGAGAGGGGCCAGAGAGAGGGAGAGAGGAGACAGAGAGAGAGAGGCCAGAGAGAGGGAGAGAGGGGCCAGGGAGGAGACAGAGAGAGAGGGGCCAGAGAAAGAGAGAGAGGGGGCAGAGAGAGAGAAGGGCCAGAGAGAGGGAGAGAGGGGCCAGAAGAGGGGAGAGAGGGGCCAGAGAGAGGGAGAGAGGGGCCAGAGAGAGAGAGAGAAGGACGAGAGAGGGCGAUAGGAGACAGUGAGGGAGAGGGCAUCUAUCUCAUACUGCAGCCUCUCUAUGGAUGGGAGGGCUUCAGCUCUGGUGCCUCCCUGUCUCUAUCUCUGUUUGUAGUCUCUCUCUCUCUCUCUCCCCCUUAACCCACUAGCUGUCUCUCAAGACGUCUGUCUCUGAGCUUGUAAGUUGGCCAAUGUGUUCAGGAGUUAAGAGUUUUUU
ensembl:lncRNA